UUCCAGUUCAGGUGACAUGAUCACAUGUCACUGUAAGACUUCAUUUCCCACUUGCCAGCACACAGGUGUACAGGAAGACAUACAAGUAAACAGAGCCAUCUACAGUCAGUUGUCCUGGUUAAUGGGAGCCAUCAAGAUUCCAAACCACCAUUAAUGGCCCACACUUUUCAUAAUUACAAUAGGCCCUCAGAGUUAUAUUUCAUAUUUCUAGUUUCAGAUACAAGAAUGAUACAUACAUACAGAUAGGAUGACCACACUCAGUAGAUUAUAAGCUUGUGAUGUGUGCACGUUGCUUGUGGGGGUGGUGGUAGGGUCACCCCCGAGAAUCGCAUGCAGCUCAUUGUAGAACCAGCAUGUGUGGGGUUCAGCACCAGAACGCCGGUUCGCCUCCCUUGCCUUCUGGUACGCUUGACGAAGUUCUUUGAUUUUCACACGGCACUGCUGGGUGUCCCUCUUGUAGCCCUUCUCCCCCGUUCCACGAGCGAUCUUUGCACAGAUGUCAGCAUUUCUUCUGCUGGCUCGGAGCUUUACCUGAUCAGACGCUUCUCCCCACACACCGAUGAGAUCCGACACCCCCUGUGCAGACCAGGCUGGAGCGUGUUUGGGCCCUGUAGUCUCCAUGAUCAGCUGUGCUCAAGCUGGCAUGUUCCCAAUGCUGAUCAAACAGGAAAUGGGAAAUCAAAAAUUCCCGGGGCUUUAGCAGGGGAGGGGCUGUUUCCUGUGUACCUGGCUACAGUGCAGCAGAGUUAAGAAUGAUCUCCAGAGCGGUCACAGAUGAGCAUUGUGGGACACUUCCUGGAGGCCAAUUCAGUCGAAUUACACAACGCUGCGUCUGCACUACCUCGCAGUCAGCCCAUGAAAAUCAAAUUAAGUGCUACGCCUCUCACAGAGGUGGAUUACAGAAGUCGACAUUAGAGGCGACUUAGAUCAGCGUAAAGGACCUGGUCGUGGAGACACAUACAUUAACAGUAAUAAACACUGAGCCCCAGACCUGCCGCUUUCACAACACGGUGCAUGAAAUACUUUGCGAAGAACCCCUCCAAGCAUCUCACACGCUACAGUGGAUACUUCAGCAGAGCCUGAGACAGAGACCCCUGCCAUGAACAGUGAGCAGCCCUGCAGGGCUCCCCCUCCACACCUGCAGAAUACCUGACCCUGAGGAGGAGAAAGAAUAGGAAUUCAGGAUGACAUCUUCAGCGAAAUCCUGCAAGCCGGUGUUGCAUCAGACUGCGAACAAAGGGCCUGGAGGGCCGACAUGCCAGACAGCAUGAAGAAGGAGACAGCAGACAAGAGAAAGGGCCCAGGAAAAGGAGCAGGAGAUGCACCUGAACAUAAUGGGUCUUCUCAGGCAGCAAACUCAAAUGCUACAGGCCCUGUCUGACCUACAGGUCCAAACAUCCCAGACUUCCCACCCUUUGAAAUCCUCAAAGAAUUCCAUGGAAACAGGUCCCUACACUCUCCAGUGUAUAUCAUGUAGCAUCCCGGGCUGCAUCCUUACACCUACCCCUCCAUGCCAGGGGACAGCAAGGAAAACUAUAGCUUCAUAUAUACUGACCUGUGAGAACCACGGUUUGUGUAUGUGUCGCCAAAAUGGACUCCAUUUGUGCAUGAAAUGGACAAAAAUGUUUGCUGCCUUUCCAAUUUUAAAGAUCCGUUCCAUUAAGUUACAUUAAAAGUUUGUAUUGUGUG